AGGACGAACGCUGGCGGCGUGCCUAACACAUGCAAGUCGAACGCGCUCCAUUCGGUAGCAAUACUGAUGAAGAGCGAGUGGCGAACGGGUGAGUAGCACGUGAGCAACCUGCCCCGAAGACUGGGACAACACCGGGAAACCGGUGCUAAUACCGGAUAUCCCUAUCGGAUCGCAUGAUCUGAUAAGGAAAUGUUUUUCGCUUCGGGAGGGGCUCGCGGCCUAUCAGCUAGUUGGUGGGGUAAUGGCCUACCAAGGCAUCGACGGGUAGCUGGUCUGAGAGGACGAUCAGCCACACUGGGACUGAGACACGGCCCAGACUCCUACGGGAGGCAGCAGUGGGGAAUCUUGCGCAAUGGGCGAAAGCCUGACGCAGCAACGCCGCGUGGAGGACGAAGGCUUUCUGAGUUGUAAACUCCUUUCAGCAGGGACGAUUGUGACGGUACCUGCAGAAGAAGCACCGGCCAACUACGCGCCAGCAGCCGA
rnacentral:rRNA from 1 species